GAUGAAGAACGUAGCGAAAUGCGAUAAGUAAUGUGAAUUGCAGAAUUCAGUGAAUCAUCGAAUCUUUGAACGCACAUUGCGCCCGCCAGCAUUCUGGCGGGCAUGCCUGUUCGAGCGUCAUUUCAACCCUCGAGCCCCCCCGGGGGCCUCGGUGUUGGGGGACGGCACACCAGCCGCCCCCGAAAUGCAGUGGCGACCCCGCCGCAGCCUCCCCUGCGUAGUAGCACACACCUCGCACCGGAGCGCGGAGGCGGUCACGCCGUAAAACGCCCAACUUUCUUAGAGUUGACCUCGGAUCAGGUAGGAAUACCCGGUGAACUUAAGCAUAUCAAUAAGCGGAGGA
rnacentral:misc_RNA from 1 species